UACGAAGGGGGCUAGCGUUGCUCGGAAUUACUGGGCGUAAAGGGAGCGUAGGCGGAUAGUUCAGUCAGAGGUGAAAGCCCGGGGCUCAACCUCGGAACUGCAUCCGAUACUGCCAUGCUAGAGAACUGAAGAGGAGUGUAGAAUUCUCGGUGUAGCAGUGAAAUGCGUAGAUAUCGAGAGGAAUACCAACGGCGAAGGCAGCACUCUGGGCAGUUUCUGACACUGAGGCACGAAGGCUAGGGGAGCAAACGGGAUUAGAAACCCUUGUAGU
rnacentral:rRNA from 1 species